rnacentral:rRNA from 1 species
CACGUAGGGUGCGAGCGUUGUCCGGAAUUAUUGGGCGUAAAGAGCUCGUAGGCGGUGUGUCGCGUUGGCCGUGAAAACUUGCAGCUUAACUGUGGGCGUGCGGUCGAUACGGGCAUCACUGGAGUUCGGCAGGGGAGACUGGAAUUCCUGGUGUAGCGGUGAAAUGCGCAGAUAUCAGGAGGAACACCGGUGGCGAAGGCGGGUCUCUGGGCCGAUACUGACGCUGAGGAGCGAAAGCGUGGGGAGCGAACAGG